CAAUGCUAAAUUUUUAUAUAGAUCGACGUGUGCAGCUGUCAAUUUUAUAUGCCUCUGGUUUAUACUUUUUAAGUUCGUGCUUUUUGCUGCUGGCUGCUUUGCUGCACAUUCCAUUCUUUCGUGCUCCCCUGGCUGCUCUUCGCUGCUUUUCACAUAAUAUGUCAAUUUUUUACCAUCAUCGUUAUCGUCCGAUUGCGCACAUUUGCCAUCAAAUUGCUGCUAGUUUUGGUCUCAUGGACUAUUUUUUAUAUAUAUAGCUGGCUUACAGUUUUGUCAUUUCUAUUAGAUAUUUUAUAUGGCUAGCUUUGUUAUUAAACUCAAAAUUUUAGUUGUUUACAAAAUUGCGCGUAUUUUUCUUAAAUUUUUUGCUCAUGUGUUUGCGAAGUUGCUGCUUUUAUUUUUCUCUAAGCACUGGCUGCAUGUUUAUAGGCUUCAUAUGGAUUUGGUUUCUCUUUAUGGAAAUUAUAAGCCUAGGCGAAUAUUCCAUUUUUAUACAUCUUAAGAUGAAAUCAUGGGCAAAGUAUUUGCAGGCUUUCAUCACUAGUAUGGGCAUCAUAUCAUCGCUGCUACUAAUAGAGGGUGCAUAUAAAAGACAGCGCUGCUCUGUGCUCUUUUGGAUUGUCGUAUUUUUUGUAAUCGAGUUUUUAUAUGUGGUCCUUGCCAUUAUCGAUAUAAACAUUCGAAGAAUACAUGUUUUUACUACCGUCGCAGAGUUUCUAAUCAUAAGAUUGAUUUAUUGCUUGUUUAUAGCAACGUCUUUAUAUGUACAACUCACAAAGGAGGCAACUGAAGCUGUGCAGGUUUAAUAUAUAGAUGAAGUAGAAUUGAAAUUUGGUUUAUAAUACAGAGUAUUCACUUUUGGCUGUGCUUUGGGAUUAAACAGCAUUAAAACUUUAUUGAUCAUAUA